rnacentral:ncRNA from 1 species
CGCACCCACAGAUGAGGAAGGGCGUAUCAAUUCACAAAAUGCUUCGGGGAGUUGAAAAUAAGCAUAGAUCAGGAGAUUCCCAAAUAAGGAAACCUUUAGAACUGCUGCUGAACACAUGGGAAGGAAAUAGAUAACUUGGCAAACUGAAACAUCUUAGUGGCCAGAGGAAAAUAAAGCAAAAGUGAUUCUCAUAAUAGCGACGAGCAAAAACGGAGCAUCCUGAAUUGAUAAAACGGGGUUGUGGGAGAGCAAUAAAAGCAUCGUUGUGCUGGGCAAAGCAGCCUCGAUGAUUCACCUUAGAUAGAGAAAGUCCAUUAUCCAAAAACAUCACUAGCUUACGCUCUAACCUGGGUAUCCUAGAGCACGUAUUAUCCCAUGUGAAUUAGCAAGGAUCACCUUGCAAGGCUAAAUACUCAUGGGUGACCGAUAGCGAAGUAGUAUGAUA